rnacentral:pre_miRNA from 1 species
UGUGUGGGCUGUGUGCUCCACAACUCCACGGGUGUCAUUCACAUAGACUACACUGUGAAUGAUGCCACCUAGAGUUGUGCAGUACACAACCUUCAC